AAUUGCCUUCGUUCCUCUUCCUCUCCAUCAAAUUUCUUCCGUGCCAAGCCGAUCGGCUACGAAGACUGCGAUGACCGCUCCAAUUUUCUGCGAUCCUUUUCCCGAAACGAAACCCUUCAAUGAAAGCCAAGUGCUUCAAACGGAGCUAUGAGCCGCUGUUAUUUUGACGGGUUUGGUUUUGGGGCAACGAUCUCUACUGUUUUCGCCGCUAUCAAUCUGUAUCGAUUGCUGCAGCUUCUGAAGAAGAAUGGAUGGAUGGAAUAGGGUUCUUACUUCACACUCAAUGAUAGCAACGAUGGACAUUCUUGUGCGGACAAUAUGAUAUUCAUCACCAAGGUUAUAUCAUAGCUUUUUUACAGUGAUUUUCUGCAAUUUCCAGGAUUUUGUCUCUAAGAAUAUGUAUUUGAAAUGAUUUAUUGGAUUGAACUUUGUGGAUUAGGAUCGUCUACCCUAAUUUUUUUCGCCAGAGCUUUCGAAUGUUGUGCCUAGUUGAGUAGAGUGUUUCAUUAAAUGGCCGUGUUGUUAAAUUGGUUUAGUCUCUUGAUUACAUCAGAUGUAUGUGAAGUUUCUACGAGUUUUUAUGUACAUAUUAAAUCUACAACUAGUUUUUAAGCAAUGAGUUUGCAAAGCCUGAUUACAUAACCUAGAUUCAUGGUAUUUGAAGUAUGUUACUGAAUUUUCUUGUUUUUGGUGGCCAACAAGAUACGGAAACAUGUUACCAUCUGUAGCUGGAAUCACCAGAACUUCAGAUAUGUAGCUUUUAUCCUAAAAACCUCUGCUUGAAUUCCUCCACUAGGGAUUUCCCCUUGAAUUGUCCUGAGCUGGAUGCACCCAUUAAAUCCCUUAUGGAGAUCUCCUUAUAGUCUUACUUCUGGGUUGCAUCAACUAACAUCAUUACUUGCUGUUUUUUCUCAUCAUUAUCUUUGCAACCUACCAUAAAAUUGCAUGAAUUCUAUGAAAUACAUCAUCCUCAUGCGAAGGACAAAGCAAGUGCUUGAUGUGUUGUUCAAAAGUUAUUUGGGUUUCAUCACCAUGUGGAGUGACUCCUUUGUGGCCAUGUGCAAGUAAGUAUAUAAGAAGCUUUCUGUCAAAAUCAUCCUCUGAAUGCUGAAGCACCAUAAUUCCUCCUGUCAGUCUGUCACCCAUGUGAGAACUGAUUGAUCUAUUUCACUAGAAUAACCCUAACACUUCCCAAUGCAUUGUUAGAAUUGCAAUUCCUUUGCUGUUCAACUCCUAAUUGGAUUACAGAUCAGCUUAGUCCAACCGUUUUGACUGCCAUCUUGAGUUUGAACUCAAGAAAAUUGAGAAUGCCACUACUUUAAGAGUUCUUUUAGCACUAGAAAGAGAUAUAAGAUAAAGUUUACCUAAAACAGAUCACUGGUUUGCCCAUCAAACUGUAGGAUAAUAGACCAUCCCUGACACCAUAACAAUAAAUUUCCAUUACCAAAAAUCACUCUACAUUUGUUUGGGGAUACAGCCCUAUUUAUAAAGACCAAGUUGACUAACUUUAGAAUUCUUAAACCUCAUAAAUAAAUAACCCUCUGAUUUAUAUAAACAGACUGUCUUUGGAAAACUUAAUCAAGAAGUAAAUUUAAAUAAAUGACCCAGCUUGGCCCCACCAAUGAAGAACUCUGAUAUAUAUAUAUAUAUAUAUAUAUUGUCACUCCCCUACACUGACACUUGGACUUUAUAUUUGAGCCCAUUACAAUAGAAACCUAUAAUAUAAAAAAGCCUACUUAAUACAAGACCCAAACCAAGACUUGUAUAAGCUUAACAAAACAAUUUUCAGAAAGAUUUCCAUUGUAAUUUUCCAUGAAAAGAAAAUACAUUUACAAGGAAACCAUGAUCAUCUCUUCAAAAUUGUCUUAUUGAUCAGAUUAAGGUUUUUGGUAGGAGAACCUAUAAAGAGCCCUACAGUAACAUGAGGUUUCUGGUAUGUUAUGAAGGAUGACAAUUAUCAAUUCUAACAGGAUCUCUCUCUUCACUGGAUUUGUAACAUGAAAAGACACACAUGAUCCUCAAUUGGCAGAUUGACUUUUUUUUUUUUUUGGGGGGGGGGGGGGGAAGGGGGGCAUAGCAAAAUAAUUAACCAGGCCAUCACAUCGCAGGCAAUUGCUUUCUAUUGUACUUUUCAUGCUGCAUUAUGCGCCCAUACCAAAAACUCCCAUUUCCUAGUGUUAUGUUUCUCUAUUUUGGUUUAGUGUUAAGUCUUUUUCUCGUAGUGGUAAGCUCAACGGAUGUGUCAGGUUGUCAACCAGUACUCCAAAACCUUAGUCAAACCUCGCUAAAGAUGUUUGCUUUGCCUUACUGGAAUUUUCUAAAUAUCAUCUUUCUCAAAAUGAAAAAUGAAGAAUUUGGUCACUAAUAUGACUUUCCCUAACUUCAUUUCCUUCAAGAUUAGCUUAUCAAAGAAGCGGUGCUCUUUAUUAUUCAUUCUCUUGAAUUGUAUUAGAUAUUGCUUCCUUUAAUUAUUCCCUUGUAUAUUUUUUAAAGUUUUCUGUGGUUUUUGGUGGGGCUAACAAAGGUAUCUGUUUUCUUAAAGUUCUCUCUCUAUGUGUAUAUUAUAUAUCUAUCUUUUCUUUGACAACUGUAAGUACUCUUCUUUCCAUUUCAGGAACAAAAGAAUCUUAUAGGACAAGUUAUAUGUAAAUCUAUCUUUGACAACUGAAAGUACUCUUCUUUCCAUUGUAGGAACAAAAAGAAUCUUAUAGGACAAGUUAUAUGUAAAUCUAUCUUUGACAGCUGAAAGUACUCUUCUUUCCAUUGUAGGAACAAAAAGAAUCUUAUAGAACAAGUUACAUGCAAAGCCCGAGGUUGCAUGGCUUUCUUCAUGUUCCAAGGAAAUAUUUAUUAAGAUCUUUCCACUUUUUCAACCUCACACAAAUGUUGAACGCCUUGACCCACUCUUACUCUCCUUAAUCAUAUCCAAUUUGGAGAGGUUUCAGCCGUUGCAUGUGUAUUAGAAGCUAGUGAAAUUCAGUUCUACCAUCUCAGCUCCAGCAGCUGGUUCGUUAAAGACAGACAUAUUGCAAUCAAUUACAGUACUUUUCUGUUGUAAUAAUCCUCAUUACAAUAAGAUUCCCUAGUUAGACCCUUUCCUGUAACAUGUCUGACUCUUACAAUCAUGUUCCUGAUUUUCACUCUCCCCAGUUAGAUCAUCACAAUAGCGAGAUCAGCUAUUGAAAGACCAUUAAAACUCUUAAGCCUUUCUUUCAUCAAAGGUCCCUGGCAUGUACUUCUACAUUUAUUUUCCAUGGCAAUACGAGAUCCACCAUUGUAGGCCACGAAACUAUAUUCCUUGUGUUAUCCUUGAUCCCAUCCCUUACUGUACAGGAUUGUAAAUAUCCUUUCCCAUGCUAAUCAAAAGGUUCAGAUAUCCAUGGUUAGGGGAUUCUCUAUUCACCAUGGGAGAAAAGAAACUGGGCUGAGCUGCAAAAUUUUAGCUAUAUAUAUAUGUAGUGAUCGCAUUGUUUGCUUCGAAUGAUAUAGGUAUAAUUGGAGUUUAAGCCAUCCCCGAGUGUGAUCGGACGAAGAUGGAGUUGCACAUGCCACCGACUAAUUAAGGAGGCAAGCCUGUUUUGUAUGCUUCUAUUAUGUAUUCCCUUCAUUUGAAUUCCUUCCCCUUCUCGUUGUUGAUGUAACAAUGGCUGCCCCUGUCUUGUUAUUUCCGGGCAGUUCAAUAAAUUUCAUCCCCGUGUGCAUGUACUGUCAAAUCAUAUUGUUUGCUUUGAAUGAUCUCUUUCAAGUUUCAUUAUCGGCAAAUAAUAACAAUUUUAUGUUAUUUUUCUUUGAGAAA